rnacentral:lncRNA from 1 species
CAAGUCCACUGACACCAUCAAGUUUUAGGAGGUUUAUUCUCUGCUCCCUGAGGCCGCCCCCUUGUAUAAGAAGAUGCUAAUUUUAACAGGAGAUCAUGCAUCCCAAGAGCAGGAGUGAACGUGCAGCUAUUUCUUGGCAACCCUAACUGCCACCAGAGUUGCCAGGCUGCUAAAGGCAUUCGCCUGUGCUGUACACACAGCUGGGAAAUCAGAAGCAAGGAGCUGGGUUUGUUACCAGCCAAAGCCCUGGAACUCACAAGGCAAUCUGCUCUCCUUGGGAAGUUUUUGUCUGAGCAUCUGAGAUAUUUUCAAGUAAGAAGCCAUGGAGAUUGGAAGAGCUACCCCUGCAGCAAAAUCAGCCUUGCGUUAUGUACAGGCUGGCCUGUGACAACAAGCCCUGGGGACACUGGGGUUCCAGCCCUGCUCAGCCGAGCUUCAUGCAUUAUGGAUGAAGACUGUUGAUGCGCAGACUUCAGGGACAUGGCUCCUCCAAAGCAAAAUCAACACUCCAUGCAACCACUACCUACCAACAGCUGUUGUCCAGGGCUUGAAAGACGGUAAUAAUGAAUCUGAGAUAAGAGGCAAGCUUAUCUUCAGGGCCUCAGGUCCAAGGGUGAGGCUGAAGGCUCCAGCAGCAAUAGUAGUAAACAGGAGCAAGAAUACACUGAGUAUUCCUUUUAAGUGUUGUUUCGAAGACAAAACGAAAACUUCAAUCAAAAUGAAAUGA